GACAAGUCCGAAGAAGAGGGUGGCCAAUCUAGUCGCGUGUCCACUGUGGAUGAGGAUUGUUACAUUCUUGAUGUGGAUUCAAGCGUCAGUGGAGAGUCCGGGUCCUAUAAAAACCCAAAGCCAGAAAAGAAGAGAAAAUCCAGCUAUCUGGUAAUUGACUCAUCUGAUGACUCUGGCAAUGAGGAAAAGAGAUCUAAGAUAUGGGAAAUAAGCAGCGA